CCUACGGGAGGCAGCAGUGAGGAAUAUUGGUCAAUGGCCGGAAGGCUGAACCAGCCAAGCCGCGUGAAGGACGAAGGUGCCAAGCAUUGUAAACUUCUUUUGUCAAGGGAUAAAAUCAGGCACGAGAGCCUGACCGUGGGUACUUGAAGAAAAAGCAUCGGCUAACUCCGUGCCAGCAGCCGCGGUAAUACGGAGGAUGCGAGCGUUAUCCGGAUUUAUCGGGUUUAAAGGGUGCGUAGGCGGAUUGUUAAGUCAGCGGGAAAAGCCCGGGGCUCAACCUCGGCGAGCCGUUGAAACUGGCAGUCUUGAGAUGUCGAGAGGUAUGCGGAAUGCGCAGUGUAGCGGUGAAAUGCUUAGAUAUUGCGCAGAACUCCGAUUGCGAAGGCAGUACACCGGCGGCGAUCUGACGCUGAGGCACGAAAGCGUGGGUAUCGAACAGGAUUAGAUACCCGAGUAGUC
rnacentral:rRNA from 1 species